rnacentral:snRNA from 1 species
GUCCGACUUUGUGAAAUGAC